AGUGAACGCUGGCGGCGUGCUUAACACAUGCAAGUCGAACGAGAACGGAUUAUAGCUUGCUAUAAUUGUCAGCUAAGUGGCGCACGGGUGAGUAAUGUAUAGGUAAUAUGCCUCUUACUAAGGGAUAACAAAUGGAAACGUUUGCUAAUACCUUAUACUCCUUAUUAACAGAAGUUAAUAAGGGAAAGAUUUAUUGGUAAGAGAUUAGCCUGUAUUGUAUCAGUUAGUUGGUGGGGUAAUGGCAUACCAAGAAUAUGACACAUAACUGGUUUGGGAGGAUGAUCAGUCACACUGGAACUGAGACACGGUCCAGACUCCUACGGGAGGCAGCAGUGGGGAAUAUUGCACAAUGGACGAAAGUCUGAUGCAGCAACGCCGCGUGGAGGAUGACACAUUUCGGUGCGUAAACUCCUUUUAUAUGAGAAGAUAAUGACGGUAUUAUAUGAAUAAGCACCGGCUAACUCCGUGCCAGCCGCCGCCGUAA
rnacentral:rRNA from 1 species